GGAUUCCCCUAGUAACGGCGAGUGAAGCGGGAUGAGCUCAAAUUUAAAAUCUGGCUGCCUCAGGUGGUCCGAGUUGUAGUCUCGAGAAGUGUUUUCCGCGUUGGCCUGUGUACAAGUCCUUUGGAAUAAGGCGUCAUAGAGGGUGAGAAUCCCGUCCUUGACACAGAUCCCCAAUGCUUUGUGAUGCGCUCUCAAAGAGUCGAGUUGUUUGGGAAUGCAGCUCAAAAUGGGUGGUAAAUUCCAUCUAAAGCUAAAUAUUGGCGAGAGACCGAUAGCGAACAAGUACCGUGAGGGAAAGAUGAAAAGCACUUUGGAAAGAGAGUUAAACAGUACGUGAAAUUGUUGAAAGGGAAACGAUUGAAGUCAGUCAUGCUCGUAGGGAUUCAACCGGUUCUGCCGGCCUAUUUCCCUACUUGCAGGCCAGCAUCAGUUUUGACCGGUGGAAAAGGUUGGAGGGAAUGUGGCAUCCUCGGAUGUGUUAUAGCCCUCUUUCGCAUACAUCGGUUGGGACUGAGGAACGCAGCACGCCUUUAUGGUCGGUCUUCGGACACGUACGUGCUUAGGAUGCUGGCAUAAUGGCUUUAAACGACCCGUCUUGAAACACGGACCAAGGAGUCUAACAUGU
rnacentral:rRNA from 1 species